rnacentral:lncRNA from 1 species
CUAAGUUUUUAUACUCCUAAAAAAAAUUUAUAUUGUUUAUAUUACUCAAAAAAAAAUUAAGAGGUUACAUCGAUUUUUAAACCAUACGAACAAAAUCAAACUAAGAACCUCUUCAACAGCAUUCCAAAUAAAAAAAAACUAAUAAAGUCAACCGAUUUUAUAAACUUGUAAAUUUUACUAACUAAAAAACACCAAUAAAACCAACCAUCUCUAGAGUAAGUGGUAAAGAGCUUGGUCGUUGGUACCUGCGUUCUAAGUUCGAAUCUUAGUUAAUUCACAUUUUCAGCUAAGUUUAUUUCUAAUUAAAAUAAAUGAAGUAGGUAGCGUGCUAUCUAUCUCUUUCAAAAAAAAAAACACCAAUAAAAAAUUAAUUUAAAAAGGCCAAAAAAUUGAU